GAUGAACGCUGGCGGCGUGCCUAACACAUGCAAGUCGAGCGAGAAGUUUAUGGAGUGCGUUUUCGGACAAGUGAAGUAAACGGAAAGCGGCGGACGGGUGAGUAACGCGUAGGCAACCUGCCCCAUACAGAGGGAUAGCCUCGGGAAAUCGGGAUUAAAACCUCAUAAUGCCAUCGAGUCACAUGGCUCUUUGGCCAAAGAUUUAUCGGUAUGGGAUGGGCCUGCGUCUGAUUAGCUAGUUGGUGAGGUAACGGCUCACCAAGGCUGCGAUCAGUAGCAGAACUGAGAGGUUCAUCUGCCACAGUGGAACUGAGACACGGUCCAAACUCCUACGGGAGGCAGCAGUGAGGAAUAUUGCACAAUGGGCGAAAGCCUGAUGCAGCAACGCCGCGUGAGCGAUGAAGGCCUUUGGGUCGUAAAGCUCUGUCCUUGGGGAAGAAACAAAUGACGGUACCCUUGGAGGAAGCCCCGGCUAACUACGUGCCAGCCGCCGCAGUAAGAC
rnacentral:rRNA from 1 species